UCCAUGCAUGGAGCCCAGUGUGGGAUUCGUUCCUGGGACUCUGGGAUCACGCCCUGAGCCAAAGGCAGAUGCUCAACUGCUGAGCCACCUAGGCAUCCCUCAUAUUUUAUUAUUUUAACUUCUUACAGCUCUCGAAAGAAUGUGGCAAGAAAUGAAGGUGGGAAAGAAUCAAGACGCUCUGGAAAUAACAGACUCCUAACUCUCACUCAAGUUAGCCAGCAAAGAGAGGCUGCUCCAAUCUGGCCGUGGAGACGUGAGGGAGGAUCAUGGGGAGACAGUUGUAUGGAGUCCAGUAAGUGUGGGAUGAAUCCAUCAACAGAAGGAAGAGAACAGCCUCCUUGCCUUGCCAGGUUGGUGGUGGGAUGUUCAAUGGUUUCUAAAUAGAAGGAUUUCCUUUGCCUUUUUCCAUUUCUUGGCUCUUUCCUCAUAAUCCUUUGCAAUAGGUCAAAAGUGCUCUUUUUGACACAAUUUUGGUCAUUAGAGCCCCAUUAAAUUCCACUCAACACCUCCUCCUCAAGUCCCCCUCCCUUUCUCUCCUCUCUCAGCUGCCUUUACACUUCUCUGGCUGCUGAACAAAUGGAGAGCCUUCUCUCUGGGUUCUCUGGGCCUUCAGUAGAGGUCAAGUUGGACCUGGUGCCCUGACACCUGACCAGUUCUCCCCUGGUCUCUUACUCACAGGCAUUUCUUUAGAGAUGUGUUCCCAGUUUGGGGCCUCUCUCCCUAACUCACCUUUCUCUGAGGGUCUUUGUUCUUGCUUGCUCUCUAAACUUCUUGAAGACUUUUCCUGAAUCAAUUUAUUCUCACAUGUCCUCAUUAUUUCUUGUUUGGACAUGUAACUCUUUGCAUCUCUUUAUUUUCUAUUCUUUAGCUCUUAUGAUUAUGGUCACCAGAGUAUGUAGAAGGCAUUGCCCAGAGGAAAAGACCAUGCAGAUCUAACUUCUCCUACUCCCCCAGUUGUGUCUAUGGAGAUAGGGUUACCACAAUCUCUGAGAGCCUGGGGAACCUUACUUCUUGUAGGUUACAAUGGCUAAUAGAUCCCAGGGAUUUUCCAGAGUGGAGCCAAAGCUCA
rnacentral:lncRNA from 12 species